UAAAUGUGUUGAUGACUUAUCUAAGUUCACCUUUAUGAUAAAGAACUUGUAUUAUUUUGUCUAAAUCAGGUGCUGGCAAACCAUGGCCCAUGGACCAAAUCCAACAAAUACUUUGUUUUUCCUUAGAAUGUCCGGGAGACCCAACCUGCCUUGGAAACCAACUGAUGAGACUGCCUCAUGUCAAUCUUGCUGUGAUUUUAUUCCUUUGAGCUUGCAGAAAAUGACUCUACUGGAAACCGUCACUCCUUUGGAUUAGGACCAAAGCCCCGUGGUAUAAUUGAAGAGGAUAAGGAAGGGGGCCCUUCCUCGGAUAUUUCCCCACUUAAGAGAUGAUUUAUCUCAUCAAACAGGAUGGAUGUAAAAGUCUAUCCAUGCUUUCUCCACCUCACAGCUUUCAUGACUCAUCCUGGACUCACCCUAUGUUCUGUCACGUGAAACAUUUCAAGGAAAACUCAAUGGGGCGUGACAUCAUGGGAAGGAGAACUGAUUUCUCGUCCUGCAUUGGCUUCUCUCCGGCUCUCUGACUUCAGCAUUUCUGCCUAUUUCUCCCCACCUCCUGUCUCACGCUUCAUUCUCCUUUCUCAUCUUAAGAGAAUCAAGAUUCAUGAAGGAGAAAGGAGGAAGAUGAAACUAGGGGAAUGAAGAAUCAUGGACAAAGUACCCUUGCCUGCUGUUGUGUCUCAGCCAAAUUCAAACAUGUUGUAUUUCCAUUACUAGUUUGAGGUACCAGGAAAGAGGUGAAUUUUCACAACUCUGCCUUCAUCUGGACUCUAUUUAGUAGCUACAAAUUAAUAUUUUCUGAUUUGAAUAAAACAAAUAUACUAAAGUUCAAAAUUUUUAGUUUGAACUUCCUGUUUAUUUUAAGCUUGUUAGUUAAAUAUGUUUGAGUUCUGAGUUUUUGCUUUCUGUUGAAAUGAUUUGUAACUGGAUAAUUAUUUGAGUGGGUUCUAGUGGCUAAAAAGAAAAAAAAAGGUUGAGGAAGGAAGCGUUGCUGUUUUUAUAGUAGGAUGAGUUUUCUUGAACACUUCAAGAACUCUGAAUUUCACUGAGUUCCCAUUCCCGGCAAGAUGUUUGAACACUAACGAUUCUCAGCUUUUUAGGCAAGCCACAGCUUAACUAUAUUGCCAUAUUUACCUAAAAUUGGUUUUUCAACUACUCAUAAUUAAAAGCUGAUUUGAGAAAUAAUGCUUGAAAUCAAUUUCGUUCAGUGGGUUACAUAUAUGCCUUUAUAUAGAGAAAACUUUAUAGAAUUAUCAUAUGCUCUAGACUCAAAUUUGUGUGAGCCAAUCUGACACUCUGCUUAAAGGUUUAUUAGAAUUAAUGUUCCCCUUAAUUGUAAAAUUUCUUUAUAAUAAGCUACGCAAGUACCCUACUGAAAGAUUCAUCUGAAGCUACUGGAUAUGUGUCCAUAUACAUUUUGAGGUGGGAGUCGGAGAUAUUAAAAAUGGGCCUGUUGGACCACAGGAACUCUGCUGGUGUGGUUUCUCUUUAUAGCUCCAACUCCUGGCA